GUUUUCAUGCCCUGCUUGCGCAAAUUAUUUCGUGAUAAAGUUUUCUCGUAUCGUUUUGGGCUGCGGCACGCUUUCUUGACGGUGAAAGUGGGAGCUGAAGUCUUGGUUAGCUUGCUGAAGUUAUCAACCCUCCGUCAACGCGCUUCGGCACCCCAGUGCUUCUAGAGCGAUAUUCGCCGCGACAAGGCGUGCGUACGGGAAUCGUCGUGACGACUACGGUACUCGGGGCAGAAAACCGCCGAAGUCUGUGCUGCUGGUGGAGAGCACAAAAGUGGCAUUUCCGCGUACCUGGCUAGGAGUAUAGAGCGUAAAAGUACCGCUGAGCCCGAGUUACCCUCUUCGUCGGGCGAUCUAGGUACGCUCGCCACCCGCUUCUGUGUCCUCCGAGUUCGAUUGGAAUAUUUUCGAGAAUUCACCUGAGCAGUUGCCCCUUAGAGGUGUCGACCAACGUGUGAGUGUGAACGCGUGCGCACUUGCACGGAAGACGAUCAUGUUUUCUCCGACUAAAACAUGUCGCCAGUGAAUAGAUUUUUGAGUGUCGACUAUCUGAUUUCUUUCGAAGAGAAGAGCAUGCCUGAAUAACUCAUCACUUGGCAAUACAACGACUUUGGACGUUUCCUGAAGUGCCCUGGCACAAGCGCCCGAGAAAGGUCCGCUGAUCUUAGAACGGUACUGCACAAAGGUGUCAGAUACGGGGGCGCUGCUCGGUAUCACGUAUGCUUUUGCGUGGAUCCCAGAAAGACGAAACCUGGGUUAUGAUGCAUCGCGGAGUUGGUCAUUAUUUGUGCCGAGCUACAUGUGUAGACCCUCGUAAGUAAUCGGGAACGCCCGCCAUCAUCGGCGGGGCACGUUUCAUAGCAAGUGCGUAGGGUAUUUGACAUAUGCAGCUCAGAACGCUGAAAGUGAGUACGAGAUUUGCUCGCUUUCUCGAUGACCAUGCACUUGUCUGACGAACAUGUGCUGGUCGAAUCUGCUGCACUUUCCUCUGAGUGACAUGCCAAGGUUGCGGGCUUUUGCGAUCCAGCAGAUGUACUUGACACCCGUCGUAUGUACCUGACUUGAUACAGGACACAUGAUGCCCACAAGAGGCCCGAUUUACGGUUCAGCUUAAUCUUAAGACAGACGGAACAUGUUGACAUCUAUACACCAGACACUGUUCUAUGUCGGAUCAUACUGGGGUGUGUUUUUCAGAACGUACCGCGCGCUUCAUACGACUUUGCAGCCCGUUUAGGCUUUUGCUCGGCAUGCCGUUCUGGGUGGAUUGCAGAAUUCUGAUGGCCCGUUGUUCUCGUCACCCCUCUACAGUGAAUGUCUUGGGCGCAUCUCGCAGCGUGUUUGGGAAAACUGCCCCCGUACAGUCCUUAACCAAUGGAACUUUUCAAGAAAGCGAUGCAAGUGCCCGAGCUGCGAGACGCGCAUCCUUAAAAUUUCUGCACACU